rnacentral:rRNA from 1 species
UACAGAGGUCUCAAGCGUUGUUCGGAUUCAUUGGGCGUAAAGGGCGCGUAGGCGGCGGGGUAAGUCGGGUGUGAAAUCUCAGAGCUCAACUCUGAAAUGGCACUUGAUACUGCUCUGCUAGAGGACUGGAGAGGAGAUUGGAAUUCACGGUGUAGCAGUGAAAUGCGUAGAUAUCGUGAGGAAGACCGGUGGCGAAGGCGGAUCUCUGGACAGUUCCUGACGCUGAGGCGCGAAGGCCAGGGGGAGCAAACGGGG